rnacentral:rRNA from 1 species
UACGUAGGGGGCAAGCGUUGUCCGGAAUUAUUGGGCGUAAAGAGCUCGUAGGCGGUCUGUCGCGUCGGUCGUGAAAACUUGGGGCUUAACCCUGAGCUUGCGGUCGAUACGGGCAUGACUGGAGUUCGGCAGGGGAGACUGGAAUUCCCGGUGUAGUGGUGAAAUGCGUAGAUAUCGGGAGGAACACCGGUGGCGAAGGCGGAUCUCUGGGCCUUACCUGACGCUCAGGUGCGAAAGCUAAGGGGA